rnacentral:lncRNA from 1 species
UGAUAACUCAGUCUCUUCCCUCGCCGCCGUGCAGCAGGUUCUCGGAGCGCUUCGCCGCAGUCUUCGCGCAAUGUUCAUGACUUUCCCGACUAUCCAGAGACGAGAACCUUCCGGCGAGCCGCGCCUGCUACACGACGUCCAAGCAUAAAGCCAAGCUCCGGACCAGGUUCGGAACGGACAUCAGAAAGCGGGUGUGAACCUCCGAAAGCGACCUGGCUGCGAAGCAGGAGUUCGGUUCUCGAGCUGUUUUCCAUGUGAGUCCCGGAGCCACCAGACGUCCUCGUAUUGCCAGCUGAAGCAGGUG